CUCUUCCCCCGCGUCGCCCUCUCUACUUCUUCUUCCGAUUUCUUCACCGUCCGGCGUCCGAUUGACGUGAUUCCAGUUGUCCUUGGACCGUCUCUUCCUCCUCUACACGAUGGUACCAGUGGGUAUCGGCGAUUUGGCCGGCAAACCCCGAAUUUAUGCAAGCAUUGUUACUGUAGCAGUUUGCUUCUCCGGCGAACUUCUCCAGUUUCCGGCUAUCUUCGGCGGUGAAAUUGGCUCUAUUAGGAGCGCCUCGGGUCACUGAUCAUCUUCCCUCAAGACUUCUAGUUGGAAUUUCCACGUUUGGAAGGUGAAUUUGAAGGAUUUCCAAAUUUGUGGGUUUGGAGAUUUCCGGGUUUGUGUUCAUCGGCAAAAUUGGAGCAUUUCAAGGGCGAUAUACCGAACUAUUGCUCGAUGAAGGAACUCGUAUGCGUGAUCGCCUAAAUAGUACUUUUGCAGGCCAGUUUAGCUUGAGGUCGAGCGUACUUGGGGUUGAGGCAUAGCUGUCAUAGCUUCCGCA